CACGUCGGACGACUCCAACUCCCACCGUCGCACAUCGGGUGGCUUUAACUCCGUCCACCGCUGCAAGUUCGUGACUCCAUCUGUGACCCUGCAUCUGCCGACGUGACUCCGCCCUGUCCUCGUUCUAACUCCCUCCACUGCCGCAAAUUUGAGAAGUAUGUCGGCUAUGCUCUUGGUGUUCCAAUGUAUUUGAUAUAUCGGAAAAAGAAAUAUAUUGACUAUUCUGGAAUGUCCUUCAAGGAUUUUAUGGCAGGAAAGCUCCCACUAGUUCCUAGAGAACUUCCUACCCUAACUGAUUAGGAAAAUCAUUUGACUACAAUAUUUCCGGAGGUAUUCUACACUUGAUUUACUCCAACAGUAUGCUUGUUAUGACCUGAUUCUAGGAUCUAUUUUUCCCUCAUUACUGAGGUGAAACUGAAGACAUAUUUGGAAAUGAGGGGUAGUGAUGGAGGCCCUUAGAGGAGAUUAUGUGCUUUCUUCCGGCAUUGGUAAUUUUCAUGAUAUAAUUAGACUCUAUAGACCUCUUAUUAAACAUUGAUGUGAUGUGUAUCCCAAUAUACAAACUUCACAUAUAUGGCUCAUGUUUAAUUUUGAUCUUAGGAAAAAUAUUAUUUUCCUUUUCCUCCUAUUUCUUGGUGAGAGGUGUUUGCUAUCAUUUAGUUUUCUUGUUGGUGAUCAACUACGCAAUGUUGUUUGAAUAUUUUUGUGGUUGAGUUUUUUGUACUCAGGAAGUUUUCCGUUCACUGAAGUUAUCAUUGACUAGUAUUGAAGCACUUCAGUAUGCUGAAUAUGAAAAACAAGUUUGUUCACUGCUGAUGGAUUGUAGACCCUAACGAAUAAUCUUUAUACACGUGAGUGAUUUUUCGCCCGGUGUAUUUGCUAUAUGCUAGUUCUUUUCUCAAUUUCCUUGUAACAUUCUGAAUAAUUUCCACUUAUUUGACUCUGCCUCCUCGAGCCCUAAAAUACUAGAGCCAAGUUCUUCAGUUUUAUUUUACUUGUGAGAUUGGCUUAAUUAAUAAAGUAAUUUUUUUUGUUUCGGUAGAUAUGCUAGGUGUACUUGCUCAGUUUCUAUCGAUAAGGUUUCAAUUGACAUGAUAUGCGACUUUGUUUUACCAUACUGUCUAAUCAACCAUUGAGAAUUAUUUGUAUGGUCGUUCUUCUUUUCCUUGGUUCAUGGCUUGUUUAAUCUGGUAUAACCUUGGUUCAUGGUUUGUUAAUUGACAUGAUGACUUGUUUUUAUUUACUACCACUAGUUUCUCUCCCAAGUCUUGAAGUGUGUCGGUUAUUUCUUACUGGAGUUUUACAUCGGUUGUUUAUCGGAGAUUUUUGAACAGACAGUUGGUUGUUUAUCAUGUUGCUUUCUAUGAUUGUGCGAGUCUCAAGAAUGUGGAGGUAUCCGACUCAUACUUUCGCGGUAUCUACAUUUAUAUUUUAGAUAAACUUAUUCGGAUUCGUUGGUCGUUGUUUGUUUGGGACCAAGACUUGCUUCAAGUGUAGGCAAGAGGGGCAUACAGUCGACAGAUGCCCGAUAAGACUUAUCAAGAUUGCACAGAAUCAGGGAGCAGGUGCUUUAGAUCAGGGUAAAGUCUUUGCUACGAAUAAGACUGAGGCUGAGAGAGCAGACACUGUGGUGACAGGUAAUGGUAUGGCGAGGGGCAAGAAGGGUGCGUGAAGGCCGUAUGGAUGCGUCUAGUUUUUUUUUUUUUUUUUUUUUUUUUAUGUUUCCGCUGACGCAUUUGUUAUUCUAUUUCUUUUGAGAAUUAAUUGGAGUCAUGGUUAGAACAUUCGAUUGCUUAUUUAGUUUUGAUGAUUUUGUGAACUAUAUUUUGGAACUUUUGGGAAUGUGAUUUAAAAUAGGGCCUGAAACUGUUUUUGUGAUA